AGUUGUGAAGGUCAUCUGGCUACGACAUUUGUCACCCCAUUGAUCACCAAGUUCAUUUGGUAGAUCUGGCUGGGUAGACGGGUGUCACCUUCCUGCCUCACUACUCCCUAGAUACUGCUCCCGAAGCCACAGGUUCAGUUAAAGAAGCUGACCUUCCUCAAUAAUAAUAGUAUCUGUCUCCAGGCUAAGUUUCACAGUAGCCGCAUCAUCUACUAGAACCUCCAAACAAGCUCUGAAGGCCCAAUGAACCCCUAAACUUUAGGUGAGUUUCCCACUGAGAUUGGGUUCCCCUGGUGGCUUUAAGAGAACA
rnacentral:snRNA from 1 species